GUGGGCGUAGCUCAGUUGGUAGAGCCCCGGAUUGUGAUUCCGGUUGUCGUGGGUUCGAGUCCCAUCGUCCACC
rnacentral:tRNA from 1 species